ensembl:lncRNA
GUGUAUGUGUGUUUGACCACAUGACCUAAAUUAGCAAAGGGCCCAGAGUAGACUUUGUGGCGCUCUACUUUAAUUAAACAUACACACACACACACACACACACAUGCACCUUGUCAUACCCUGCAAACAAAUUCCAUGCCAAAUAUACACACAGGAGAUUCUUAGAAAGUACUUCAAACACAAAUUGGACAUAGUGAUUAUUAUAGUGAGUACAUGCAUGCAUGCUUUGCAUGCACACAAAUACACACACACACACACACACACACACACACACACACACACACACACACACACACGCAAAUAUCACGAAAGACACAGAAGGAAGCAUAAUUUAUUUCAUUUAAGCUUUAUUAAAUAAUAAUAACAUUAAAAAAGGAAAUAUUUCUGUACAAAGUCUACAAACAACUGUUUGAGUGAUGUAGCCAGUGCUGGGGGUGUAUGGGAGCGCCCAUCUGUGUGUGUGUGUGUGUGUGUGUGUGUGUGUGUGUGUGUGUGUGUGUGUGUGUGUGUGUGUGUGUGUGUGUGUGUGUGUGUGUGUGUGUGUGUGUGUGUGUGUGUGUGUAUGAAUGGUGUGUAUGAAUGUGUGUGUGCGUCCAUCAGAACAGAACUGAUAAAACUAUCUGGGUAUCAAAAACGAAAGCGAGAAUCAGCCACACCAGGCAGGAGAGAGAGGGACGGAGCGAAAGAGAGAUAGAGAGAGUGAGCGAGAGAGAGAGAGCGAGAGAGUGAGAGCGAGAGAGAGUUUGUGUGUGCGUGUAACGUAGGUUAAUGUAUGGAAUGGUGGAUCAUGAAAUAGAGGAAAAGGGAAGGAGCAGAGAGAGCGAAAGAGAGAGAGAGGAGAGAGAGAUAAAGUUCAGAAGUUGAGUGGGGGAGAGGAGAAAGUGGCUCCAAGGCACUUGGAUAGAACAGUCUGCCACAGUCAAAUGAAAGCUUAGCACGAUGAACCCAAUGUUCUCCAUCUCUCCCUCACUCUCUCCAUCCCUCUCUCCAUCCUUCAACGCCCCUUCAUAAUCCCAUCCUUCCAUCCUUUAACUUGGCCAAAGUAGAACUGCCGCCUAUAGAGUUACAUGCCCUUGAAUGGAGAGAGUGAGAGAGAGAGAGAGAGAGAGAGAGGAGAGUAGGUAGAGUCAGAGAGAAUGGGAAUUAUGAAUGUAUUGUGUACAGUCUUCAAUCCCCCCUCUUUCUCACUCUAAUGCUAAUCAUCAUCUUUCAUUAUCUCCUCUCGUUUUAAAGAUCAACACAAGGAGAUCUACUCUCCCUUAUAGUUUACAAAACAUGUCUGGAUGUGAAUCAUUAAGCCCAGGUCGGGGUUUACUUAGCUUUAAUCUGUUUGUUUUCCUGUCUCUUUCUCUCUAACUGAUGGGCAUACUGGCUUUUCCUUUCACCCUACUGGUCUGUUUAUGUUCUGUGAGUGUCUCGCAACCCGUUCGUGUCUCACUCUCCCUUUACGUCUCUCUCUUUCCGAUCCAAACUUCUCCCAGUCUGCCCCGUCCGUCUGGCGUGCCUGUCUGUGUGACUCUCGCUGCAUCAGUGUGCGUCUGUGUGUCAGUGUGUGUCCGUGUUUCUGUCCGUGUGUUGCUCCGUCCGUGGAGGCCCUAGUAGUCUUCC